UACGGGAGGCAGCAGUGAGGAAUAUUGGUCAAUGGGCGCAAGCCUGAACCAGCAAUGCCGCGUGUGGGACGACAGGGCUUCGCCUUGUAAACCACUGUCGGAUGGGACGAGAGGGAGUAUGAACUCCUGAGACGGUACCAUCAAAGGAAGGGUCGGCUAACUACGUGCCAGCAGCCGCGGUAAUACGUAGGACCCAAGCGUUGUCCGGAUUUACUGGGUAUAAAGGGUGCGUAGGCGGUCUUGUGCGUCAGAGGUGAAAUCUCCGGGCUUAACCCGGAGGGUGCCUUUGAUACGGCAGGACUUGAGUGCGAGAGAGGAUGAUGGAAUUCCUGGUGUAGCGGUGAAAUGCGUAGAUAUCAGGAGGAACACCGGUGGCGAAGGCGGUCAUCUGGCUCGUAACUGACGCCGAGGCACGAAAGCGCGGGGAUCAAACAGGAUUAGAUACCCUGGUAGUCCGCGCCCUAAACGAUGUAUGCUUGGUGUUGGGCUCGCAAGAGCUCAGUGCCGUAGGGAAUCUGAUAAGCAUACCACCUGGGGAGUACGAUCGCAAGGUUGAAACUCAAAGGAAUUGACGGGGA
rnacentral:rRNA from 1 species